UUCAUGCUGAAGACCGCCCUCAUCCAUGAUGGCCUAGCAUGUGGAAUUCGCGAAGCUGCCAAAGCCUUAGACAAGUGCCAAGCCCAUCUUUGUGUGCUUGCAUCCAGCUGUGAUGAGCCUAUGUAUGUCAAGUUGGUGGAAGCUCUUUGUGCUGAGCACCAAAUCAACCUGAUCAAGAUUGAUGACAACAAGAAGCUAGGGGAAUGGGUAGGCCUCUGUAAAACUGACAGAGAGGGAAAACCCCGUAAAGUGGCUGGUUGCAGCUGUGUGGUGGUUAAGGACUAUGGCAAAGAGUCUCAGGCCAAGGAUGUCAUCGAGGAAUACUUCAAAUGCAAGAAAUGAUCAAAUAAAAAAACUGGGCUCUUGUU